UACACAGACCUCAUCUUGUAACGGAAGC
rnacentral:piRNA from 1 species